CAGCACCUCAAGUGGUCAGGAUGAUUAUUGGGCCUAAAGCAUCCGUAGCCGGCGCUGUAAGUUUUCGGUUAAAUCUGUACGCUCAACGUACAGGCUGCCGGGAAUACUGCAGCGCUAGGGAGUGGGAGAGGUAGACGGUACUCGGUAGGAAGGGGUAAAAUCCUUUGAUCUAUUGAUGACCACCUGUGGCGAAGGCGGUCUACCAGAACACGUCCGACGGUGAGAGAUGAAAGCUGGGGAGCAAACCGGAUUAGAUACCCGAGUAGUCC
rnacentral:rRNA from 1 species